rnacentral:lncRNA from 1 species
GGGUUUACAAAUUUAAUUUUCUAAAAUUCCCAAUUUAGGUUUUUAAAAUAGAAAAUUAAUAUUUCUAAAUUAUAAUUAGAUUCUAAUUAUAUUACAAUUUCUUAAUCAUAAAUUAAAUCUCGCUAAUUAGGAUUAGUAUUUCCUAAUUAAAAUGGCUAAUUUAGCGAUUAGGGUCGUAAUUGGUCAUUAGGGUUUAUAACCCACGAAUUAGGGUUUCUAAUAGAAAAUUAAUUUUCCUAAAUUAGAA